GGAACAAUAUCUCAAGGAGAAACAGAUCAUUAUUGAUGACAAUCAAAAUCUCAUUUCUGAAAAAGACAAAGUUAUAGCCAAACUGACAUCGAAUGAGAAACAGAUCAUUAUUGACCUUAAAGAAAAGGAGUUGUACAUAGCCAA